AGCUAACCUCGUGGAGCCCCUGAGAUGUGCCACAUCUUGCCGUCCUUUAACACAGGUUCGGAGAGCUCUGUGAUCAGGCUGCUUCCCAAAGCCCCAGAACAAGCGGCUCUUUGCUUCAGGACGGUCCCAGUAGAAACGUGAGCCGGGAGCCUGAAGCCCAGCAUCUGCACACACUUCACGUGUGGAAGAAUCUGUGGGUCAGCUGCCCCAUUGUACACCUGGCACGCUGGUGUCCAGGAGGCUGCUGCGCUUGACAUGCACAUUUCCCAGGGCGCUGCACAUCCGAUCCUGGGGAACUGUGAGGAACUCAGAAGCUGCGGCUGACAUCUGAGACAUUCCUGACUCAGGAGCUCCAGGUUUUACAUGCUCCAUGUUGCACAGAGACAGCUGGACUACAGAGGUGAGAUUCUUCUCUUCGGUCACUGAACUCCUGGACUCAGUACUCUUCUUGCAUCUCUCAAGUGAUUCUACAGGUGUGUUAAGCGGCAUUGUCUCCCAAGUCCUGAACUUUAUCCUCAGUCACACCUGAUGCCACAAAUACAUCCUUGGUGACAGUGACAAGCAUGAGCAGUGUCUUGAUCGUCUCAGAUGCUAGGCUAGAUAGACUCUGACAUUCAGUAGUUCUAAUCCCUCUAAGAAGCCACUGCUUAUUAUUCUCACCAAAUGGAAACUGAGGCUCAAAGGGUGAAAUUGCUCGCCUGAGGCCCCAACUAAGAAGGUCAGGAGCUGAAACCCGGACUGACCAGCACCCAAGACUGGCCUCACUUCUCAUGGUCAAUAAGACUGCACCAUGGAAACAGGGGGGCUUGAGCUUGAGAGGUAGUGUCCUCUUUUUUCAAGAAAGAGCCUCUUUCCACAGUAGACCGGAGAGGAACUGAGGGAUAUAUGGCAUUCGCCUUCAUUUCUACCAUUUUUGCAUUUGAGCCACAAGAUAAGCUUCAUACAUAGGUCUGAGCAGGUCAGAUGCCAUUAAAGAUCUAGAAGCAAUGAUGUCUAGGACAGAGGGGUUACCUUCUCAAGUCAGUCAUGCGGGGCCAGGAACAUACUUGACAGGUCUCAUAUGGUCAAUAGACCUAAAAAAUUAUAGGAGGGCAAAUGACAAACAGUCCUUUGAGUAUUAUGGGCCUCUCACUUACAGCAUGACCAAAAGAAGAUAUGUAAUAAAGCAAAACAAGGACUUCAUUUUGACGAGUGGACUUGUCCGUAUCAAGUGACUUGGCUCUUGUCCUCACUACUCCUGAACGUGGGCUUGGGAGA